GGUCUUAUGGUCUAGAGGUAUGAUUCUCGCUUAGGGUGCGAGAGGCCCCGCGUUCGAAUCGCGGUAAGACCC
rnacentral:tRNA from 4 species